rnacentral:rRNA from 1 species
UACGUAGGGCGCAAGCGUUAUCCGGAAUUAUUGGGCGUAAAGAGCUCGUAGGCGGUUUGUCGCGUCUGCUGUGAAAGACCGGGGCUCAACUCCGGUUCUGCAGUGGGUACGGGCAGACUAGAGUGCGGUAGGGGAGAUUGGAAUUCCUGGUGUAGCGGUGGAAUGCGCAGAUAUCAGGAGGAACACCGAUGGCGAAGGCAGGUCUCUGGGCCAUUACUGACACUGAGAAG